AUCCAGACUCCUACGGGAGGCAGCAGUGGGGAAUAUUGCACAAUGGGGGAAACCCUGAUGCAGCGACGCCGCGUGAGUGAAGAAGUAUUUCGGUAUGUAAAGCUCUAUCAGCAGGGAAGAAAAUGACGGUACCUGACUAAGAAGCCCCGGCUAACUACGUGCCAGCAGCCGCGGUAAUACGUAGGGGGCAAGCGUUAUCCGGAUUUACUGGGUGUAAAGGGAGCGUAGACGGCAUGGCAAGUCAGAUGUGAAAGCCCGGGGCUCAACCCUGGGACUGCUCUGGAAACUGUAAAGCUGGAGUGCGGGAGGGGCAGGCGGAAUUCCUGGUGUAGCGGUGAAAUGCGUAGAUAUCAGGAGGAACACCGGCGGCGAAGGCGGCCUGCUGGACCGUAACUGACGUUGAGGCUCGAAAGCGUGGGGAGCAAACAGGAUUAGAUACCCCUGUAGU
rnacentral:rRNA from 1 species